CUGCUGACACAUUCGGGCAAAAUUUGUAUCGCGGCAGCAUACCGAGUUGUCAUUGCAGCUGAAAAACUUGGGUCCAAAAUUUCUUAUUGGCGGAGACUUUAAUGCCAAGCACACAUGGUGGGGCUCCAGGAUUUUCAGCCCCAAGGGCAGCACUCUGCUGAGGUGCGUCAGAGAGUUGGGCUGCAAUUUGCACACGACGGGAGAGCCGACUUACAGUAACACUAAAAAAAUACCGGACCUCCUUAAUCUAGGCAUCAGUAGAGGCAUCGACCCGGCGAAAGUAUCUACAGUUGGGUGCUACGAGCUGUGCUCUGACCACAGCAUGGUCAGGAUACUACUUAGGACCUCCUUCCUAAGGACUCCCGGAAGCACCAAACUGAUCAGGCGAAAUACCGACACAACUGUGUUUAAAAGCUGGUUUGAAAAAAACGUUGACCCACAUCCGGCUAUCAGCACUGGAGGAGACAUAGACGAUGCCGUUGCUAGGGACCGUCGUAAGACUAACUUAAGCGAAAGCAUUUGCCAAAGAUGUUUUCAUUAAUCGCCCUAGUUCUAACCAUAAACGAUGCCACCUAGCAAUUGGGUGCUCUUAUGGGCAAUUCUGGCUCUCUCAGUCGCUUCCCGAGAAACCAAAGCUUUUGGGCUCCGGGGGAAGUAUGGUUGCAAAGCUGAAACUUAAAGGAAUUGACGGAAGGGCACCACCGGCUUAAUUUGACUCAACACGGGAAAACUUACCAGGUCCGAACAUAAGUGUGUAAGACAGAUUGAUAGCUCUUUCUCGAAUCUAUAGGUGGUGGUGCAUGGCCGUUCUUAGUUCGUGGAGUGAUUUGUCUGGUUAAUUCCGAUAACGAACGAGGAUCAAAUAUAUUAAAUAGAUAUCUGCAGGAUUAUGGUGCUGAAGCUUAUAUAGCCUUCAUUCAUGGUGGCAGUAAAAUGUUUAUUGUGUUUGAAUAUGUUUAUGUAAGUGGUUGGUUUGUCCCAUUAUAAGGACACUAGCUUCAUAAAUGGAUAAAUUGCGUCUAGCAAUAAUGAGAUUGAGCAAUAACAGGUGUGUGAUGUCCUGGGCUGCACGAGUGCUACAAUGAAAAUAUCAACCUGUAUUUCCUAGACCGAGAGGUCCGGGUAAACCGCUCAACCACUUUCAUGCUUGGGAUUGUGAACUGAACUUGGAAUUCCCAGUAAGUGUGAGUCAUUAACUCGCAUUGAUUACGUCCCUGCCAUUUGUACACACCGCCCGUCGCUACUACCGAUUGAAUUAUUUAGUGAGGGUCCGGACGUGAUCACUGUGACGAAGUAAAAGUCGUAACAAGUUUUCCUUAGGUGAGCCUGUAUGAAGGUGAGCCUUU
rnacentral:rRNA from 1 species